rnacentral:rRNA from 1 species
AUUGAACGCUGGCGGCAGGCUUAACACAUGCAAGUCGAGCGGAGAUGAGGUGCUUGCACCUUAUCUUAGCGGCGGACGGGUGAGCAAUGCUUAGGAAUCUGCCUAUUAGUGGGGGACAACAUCCCGAAAGGAAUGCUAAUACCGCAUACGUCCUACGGGAGAAAGCAGGGGAUCUUCGGACCUUGCGCUAAUAGAUGAGCGUAAGUCGGAUUAGCUAGUUGGUAGGGUAAAGGCCUACCAAGGCGACGAUCUGUAGCGGGUCUGAGAGGAUGAUCCGCCACACUGGGACUGAGACACGGCCCAGACUCCUACGGGAGGCAGCAGUGGGGAAUAUUGGACAAUGGGGGAAACCCUGAGCCAGCCAUGCCGCGUGUGUGAAGAAGGCCUUAUGGUUGUAAAGCACUUUAAGCGAGGAGGAGGCUACUGAGACUAAUACUCUUGGAUAGUGGACGUUACUCGCAGAAUAAGCACCGGCUAACUCUGUGCCAGCCGCCGCCGUAACAC